rnacentral:rRNA from 1 species
AGUCCGAAAGGAUUGCUAAUACCCCAUGUGGUCGUUUUGAUUAGAUGCUUAAUGACUAAACGGAUUUAUUCGCUUCGGGAGGGGCCUGCGUCCCAUCAGCUAGUUGGUAGGGUAAUAGCCUACCAAGGCGAUGACGGGUAGGGGACCUGAGAGGGUGGCCCCCCACAAUGGAACUGAAACACGGUCCAUACACCUACGGGUGGCAGCAGUAGGGAAUAUUGGUAAUCUGGGAAACCGGGAACCAGCAACGCCGCGUGCGCGAUGAAGGCCUUCGGGUUGUAAAGCGCUUUUUGAGGGGAUGAGGAAGGACAGUACCUUCAGAAUAAGCCUCGGCUAACUACGUGCCAGCAGCCGCGGUAAAACGUAGGAGGCGAGCGUUAUCCGGAUUUACUGGGCGUAAAGCGUGUGUAGGCGGUUUGAUAAGUUGGAUGUGAAAGCUCCUGGCUCAACUGGGAGAGGUCGUUCAAAACUAUCAGACUAGAGAGUGGUAGAGGGAGGUGGAAUUCCGCGUGUAGUGGUGAAAUGCGUAGAUAUGCGGAGGAACACCAGUGGCGAAAGCGGCCUCCUGGCCCAUUUCUGACGCUCAGACACGAAAGCUAAGGUAGCAAACGGGAUUAGAGACCCCGGUAGUCUUAGCUGUAAACGAUGUGAACUUAGUGUCGGUGGGGUUAAAUCCAUCGGUACUGAAGCAAACGCGAUAAGUUCACCGCCUGACGACUACGGCCGCAAGGUUAAACUCAAGGAAUUGACGGGGCCCCGCACAGCAGCGGAGCGUGUGGUUUAAUUCGAUGCUACACGAG